AGGAUGAACGCUGGCGGCGUGCUUAACACAUGCAAGUCGAACGAUGAAGGCUGGAGCUUGCUCUGGCUGGAUUAGUGGCGAACGGGUGAGUAACACGUGAGUAACCUGCCCCAGACUCUGGGAUAAGCGCUGGAAACGGCGUCUAAUACCGGAUACGAGCUUCCACCGCAUGGUGAGGAGCUGGAAAGAUUUCGGUCUGGGAUGGACUCGCGGCCUAUCAGCUUGUUGGUGAGGUAAUGGCUCACCAAGGCGACGACGGGUAGCCGGCCUGAGAGGGUGACCGGCCACACUGAGACUGAGACACGGCCCAGACUCCUACGGGAGCAGCAGUGGGAAUAUUGCACAAGUGGGCGAAGCCUGAUGCAGCGACGCGCGUGAGGAUGAGCCUUCGGGCUGUAACCUCUUCAGUCAGGACGAAGCGUGAGUGACGGUACGUGCAAGAAGAAGCGACCGGCUAACUACGU
rnacentral:rRNA from 1 species